UACAGAGGGUGCGAGCGUUAAUCGGAGUUACUGGGCGUAAAGGGCGCGUAGGCGGUUGUAUAAGAUUGAUGUGAAAUCCCUGGGCUUAACCUAGGAACUGCAUCGAUGACUGUACGACUAGAGUACUGUAGAGGGUAGUGGAAUUUCCGGUGUAGCGGUGAAAUGCGUAGAGAUCCGGAAGAACACCGGUGGCGAAGGCGGCCUGCUGGGCAGUGGCUGACGCUGAGGCGCGACAGCGUGGGGAGCAAACAGG
rnacentral:rRNA from 1 species